GGUUCAGUGGUGUAGUUGGUUAUCACGUCUGUCUCACAUUGGGUGUUCACAGGAGGUCUCCGGUUCGAGCCCGGACUGAACCA